AUACGGAGGGGGCUAGCGUUGUCCGGAAUUACUGGGCGUAAAGCGCGCGUAGGCGGAUUGGUUAGUUGGGGGUGAAAUCCCAGGGCUCAACCCUGGAACUGCCCUCAAUACUGCCAGUCUAGAGAUCGAGAGAGGUGAGUGGAAUUCCUAGUGUAGAGGUGAAAUUCGUAGAUAUUAGGAAGAGCACCAGUGGCGAAGGCGGCUCACUGGCUCGAUACUGACGCUGAGGCGCGAAAGCGUGGGGAGCAAACAGGAUUAGAAACCCGAGUAGUCC
rnacentral:rRNA from 1 species